rfam:Cricetulus griseus cell line CHO-K1, whole genome shotgun sequence.
AGGCUGAGGGAGAUUUGGCUGCAACAUCUGUCACCCCAUUGAUCGCCAGGAUUGGUUCAGCUGAUCUGGCUGGCUAGGCGUGUGUACCCUUCCUCCCUCACCAAUCCAUGUGGGUCCCUCCAGAUGUGGACACUGGGUCGAGGAUGACCUUCUCCAAAUAGAGGAGGACCAGUCUUCAGUCAAAGGUAUAUGAGUAGCUGAGGUCCCCUGCUAGAACCUCCAAACAAGCUCUCUUAUUUGAUCUUUUUGAUCUAGCAAUGAAAGUGUCAAUGGAGCUCUUGUUUUGUAUGUGGUUCACAAUACAAUGGCU